rnacentral:tmRNA from 1 species
GGGGGUGAAAAGCUUUGACAGAAAUUGAACCGAGAUGGGCAAGCCGAGUUCUGGAAUCUCGAAAAAGUCCAGGAAAAAGAUAAGUGCUAACUUAACUUAUAAACCUGCUUUAGCUUACGUCUAAAACAGCAUCCGCUUAUUGAUCCUCGAUAGAUAAGCAAGGAUGUCAUAAAUCGAGGAAAGUUCUUUACCAGAAAAUCCAGAAAGAUUUUUGUCUAAUUUCAUACUUUCUGUUCUCUAAUAAAUUAGACUAAGCUUGUAGAUCUAGACCGGAAACUAAUUUCUGGACAAGGGUGCGAUUCCCUUCACCUCCACAG